GACAGAGGAUGCAAGCGUUAUCCGGAAUGAUUGGGCGUAAAGCGUCUGUAGGUGGCUUUUCAAGUCCGCCGUCAAAUCCCAGGGCUCAACCCUGGACAGGCGGUGGAAACUACCAAGCUCGAGUCCGGAAGAGGCGAGUGGAAUUCCUGGUGUAGCGGUGAAAUGCGCAGAUAUCAGGAGGAACACCAAUGGCGAAGGCAGCUCGCUGGGACGUGACUGACGCUGAGACGCGAAAGCGUGGGGAGCAAACAGG
rnacentral:rRNA from 1 species